rnacentral:rRNA from 1 species
GACAGAGGGUGCAAACGUUGUUCGGAAUUACUGGGCGUAAAGCGCGUGUAGGCGGCUGCGUAAGUCGGAUGUGAAAGCCCAUGGCUCAACCAUGGAAGUGCACUCGAAACUGCGCAGCUGGAGUCUCGGAGAGGAAGGCGGAAUGCUUGGUGUAGAGGUGAAAUUCGUAGAUAUCAAGCGGAACACCGGUGGCGAAGGCGGCCUUCUGGACGAUGACUGACGCUGAGACGCGAAAGCGUGGGGAGCGAACAGG